UCCAAUUUGAAUAAAGGAAAUGGUCAGAUAUGGAAUGAUAACAGAGAAGAUCAGCAUGGCCUUUGUGCAUGGAUGACAUGCAAAUUUGUGAAGCAUUUUGUAUUUAU
ensembl:snRNA U6 U6 spliceosomal RNA